CUUCGGAGACAAGGGUAGUCACCUAUCCCAGACAAGCUACCAAAUGAAAGACACCCAGAGUGGGGAGACCCUCACACAAGUCUCGGGAUGACGCAACCCCUCAAGAACUCAUGUAAGA
rnacentral:pre_miRNA from 14 species